UACGUAGGGUGCGAGCGUUAAUCGGAAUUACUGGGCGUAAAGCGUGCGCAGGCGGUUUUGUAAGCCAGGUGUGAAAUCCCCGGGCUCAACCUGGGAAUGGCAUUUGGGACUGCAAGGCUGGAGUGCGGCAGAGGAGACUGGAAUUCCUGGUGUAACAGUGAAAUGCGUAGAUAUCAGGAGGAAUACCGAUGGCGAAGGCAGGUCUCUGGGCUGACACUGACGCUCAUGCACGAAAGCGUGGGGAGCAAACAGG
rnacentral:rRNA from 1 species